CCUACGGGGGGCAGCAGUGGGGAAUAUUGGACAAUGGGCGAAAGCCUGAUCCAGCCAUGCCGCGUGUGUGAAGAAGGCCUUCGGGUUGUAAAGCACUUUCAGUGGGGAAGAAAGCCUUGGGGCUAAUACCCUCGAGGAAGGACAUCACCCACAGAAGAAGCACCGGCUAACUCCGUGCCAGCAGCCGCGUUAAUACGGAGGGUGCGAGCGUUAAUCGGAAUUACUGGGCGUAAAGCGGGCGUAGGCGGUCUGAUAAGCCGGUUGUGAAAGCCCCGGGCUCAACCUGGGAACGGCAUCCGGAACUGUCAGGCUAGAGUGCAGGAGAGGAAGGUAGAAUUCCCGGUGUAGCGGUGAAAUGCGUAGAGAUCGGGAGGAAUACCAGUGGCGAAGGCGGCCUUCUGGACUGACACUGACGCUGAGGUGCGAAAGCGUGGGUAGCAAACAGGAUUAGAUACCCCAGUAGUC
rnacentral:rRNA from 1 species